rnacentral:rRNA from 1 species
CCUACGGGAGGCAGCAGUGGGGAAUAUUGGACGAUGGGCGCAAGCCUGAUCCAGCAAUGCCGCGUGGGUGAAGAAGGCCUUCGGGUUGUAAAGCCCUUUUGUACGGGAAGAAAUCAUCCGGGUUAAUACCCUGGGCGGAUGACGGUACCGUAAGAAUAAGCACCGGCUAACUUCGUGCCAGCAGCCGCGGUAAU